rnacentral:sRNA from 1 species
UUUUCCCUGCGGAACGUUAAGCCUCUGAUUGACUGCCCCCGGCAUAAGCAAUAACCACAACCACCCACUUCCUGUCCUUUUCUGUGGGCAGAUCCUGACAGCGAGCGGCGAUGGCACGUGUGCCCUGUGGGACGUGGAGAGUGGGCAGCUGCUGCAGAGCUUCCACGGACAUGGGGCUGACGUCCUCUGCUUGGACCUGGCCCCCUCAGAAACUGGAAACACCUUCGUGUCUGGGGGAUGUGACAAGAAAGCCAUGGUGUGGGACAUGCGCUCCGGCCAGUGCGUGCAGGCCUUUGAAACACAUGAAUCUGACAUCAACAGUGUCCGGUACUACCCCAGUGGAGAUGCCUUUGCUUCGGGGUCAGAUGAUGCUACGUGUCGCCUCUAUGACCUGCGGGCAGAUAGGGAGGUUGCCAUCUAUUCCAAAGAAAGCAUCAUAUUUGGAGCAUCCAGCGUGGACUUCUCCCUCAGUGCCCCACAUCCUCCAACAGGGACAGGGACUGUGCUUUCUCCCCUUUGAAUCCUUGAGGCAAAGCACAGUGCCUAGGACUCAGUGCGCCUGAAUCACUGCUUACUGAAUGAGUAACAGUCAUGUAAUGAGAAACAGGAAGCAAGGAACUGGCUUAACAGCUAUCAUCUCACCCUGCUUCAAGGUCGCCUGCUGUUUGCUGGAUACAAUGAUUACACUAUCAACGUCUGGGAUGUUCUCAAAGGGUCCCGGGUCUCCAUCCUGUUUGGACAUGAAAACCGCGUU